GAUGAACGCUAGCUACAGGCUUAACACAUGCAAGUCGAGGGGUAACGAGAGGAAAGCUUGCUUUCCUUGUCGACGACCGGCGCACGGGUGAGUAACGCGUAUCCAACCUGCCCCCAACUAAGGAAUAACCUUGCGAAAGUAAGACUAAUACCUUAUAAUUUCCUCAGAUGACAUCUGACGAGGAAUAAAGAUUUAUCGGUUGUGGAUGGGGAUGCGUCUGAUUAGCUUGUUGGCGGGGUAACGGCCCACCAAGGCAACGAUCAGUAGGGGUUCUGAGAGGAAGGUCCCCCACAUUGGAACUGAGACACGGUCCAAACUCCUACGGGAGGGAGCAGUGAGGAAUAUUGGUCAAUGGGCGAAAGCCUGAAGCAGCCAAGUAGCGUGCAGGAUGACGGCCCUAUGGGUUGUAAACUGCUUUUAUACAGGAAUAAAGUUAGCCACGUGUGGUUAUUUGUAGGUACUGUAUGAAUAAGGACCGGCUAAUUCCGUGCCAGCCGCCGCAGUAA
rnacentral:rRNA from 1 species